rnacentral:lncRNA from 1 species
UGGUAAUGGCGCCAAUUUUCCCCCUUUAAUUUCACUAAAUUUUGGAAUAAUUAUGAGACGGAAAUACAAAUUCAGUCCCAAAUUUGCGACAGAUAUUUUACUUCGUCUCAAUUUGGAGACGGAAUAUCAAUUCCGUCCCAACUGACCAAAGAAAUUUAAAAAGAAAUGUUUCUGAGUGAAAAGCGUCGCAAAUUCCGUCCCAAUUUAAAUAUUUUGGGACGGAAAAUAUUUCCGUCACAAAUUUCCAUCCCAGAUCAAUUUUUUUCUAGUAGU